GAAACCGUACGAUCACCGAAGUUAAGCAACGUCGAGGCUAGUCAGUACUUAGAUGGGUGACUGCUUGAAAAUACCAGGUACUGUAAG
rnacentral:rRNA from 1 species